UGGGGAAUAUUGCACAAUGGGCGCAAGCCUGAUGCAGCCAUGCCGCGUGUAUGAAGAAGGCCUUCGGGUUGUAAAGUACUUUCAGUCGGGAGGAAGGUGUCAAGGUUAAUAACCUUUGCUCAUUGACGUUACCCGCAGAAGAAGCACCGGCUAACUCCGUGCCAGCAGCCGCGGUAAUACGGAGGGUGCAAGCGUUAAUCGGAAUUACUGGGCGUAAAGCGCACGCAGGCGGUUUGUUAAGUCAGAUGUGAAAUCCUCGGGCUCAACCUGGGAACUGCAUCUGAUACUGGCAAGCUUGAGUCUCGUAGAGGGGGGUAGAAUUCCAGGUGUAGCGGUGAAAUGCGUAGAGAUCUGGAGGAAUACCGGUGGCGAAGGCGGCCCCCUGGACGAAGACUGACGCUCAGGUGCGAAAGCGUGGGGAGCAAACAGG
rnacentral:rRNA from 1 species